rnacentral:rRNA from 1 species
AACGAACGCUGGCGGCGUGCCUAACACAUGCAAGUCGUGCGAGAAAGUUCCUUCGGGAGCGAGUAAAGCGGCGCACGGGUGAGUAACACGUAGGUAACCUGCCCCCCAGUCUGGAACAACUAGAGGAAACUCUAGCUAAUGCCGGAUGAGACCACGAUCCCCUUCGGGGGUUGCGGCCAAAGAUGGCCUCUACUUGUAAGCUAUCGCUGAGGGAUGGGCCUGCGGCCAUUAGCUUGUUGGUGAGGUAACGGGCUCACCAAGGCUGUGAUGGCUAGCUGGUCUGAGAGGAUGACCAGCCACACUGGGAC